AAUGCUUUUGAUUUUGAUAAAAUCUAAUUUAUCACUUUUUUCUUUUAUAGGUCAUGCUUUGGUGUCAUAUGAGAAAACUCUGCCUAACUCAAGGAAAUUGGGGAAGAGCGAGGCGAAGGAGUAAUAUCUUGUUCCGUCGGCAUCGUCGAUCCAAGGCUUUCUUGUGAAUUCGUUUUUACCACAUUUGAAGUGUGAUGCCCAGAGUGGAACUCGGAGCUGCUGGCACCCGCAUCCAUCUUUGGAGGCUCUGGACAUAAUCAGUGGAGCAGGCAGAAGACCUGCAGCCCCAAGCCUGCUCGUUGCCGUCUCCCCUUCACAAGUUGAAUGCACUCAUGGACCACGGAGUGAAUCCAGCGUAUCACCCUAGUCUACACUUUGGUAGGAGAAGAGCAGUUACUCAGGACAGCCGUGCUAGCCUGGACUAAUCUGGAUACAUUGUCCCACACCAGAAAUAAACAGGCCGUCAACCCCAAAUGUCAAGCAUGACACAAGGAAGUUGGAAGGACCCACCAAACUCAAGGAUUCUCCUAGCACACAAACUGAGGAAGAACAAUACAUAGGACUCAAAGACUAGAUAUGUCCCUUCAGUAUGCUAUCUUUUGUAUUCAUGUUGGGGUGAAGAUGGGGAAUUAGCAGCAAAGCACUGUACAGUCCCUUUUGGAGUACUGACCAAUAAUUUCAUAACAUGUACAGUUUUACUCAAAAUUAAUCAUGGGUCGUUGGCACAGAUCUCAUAUGAAUGGCUUGGUGCUGUCCUCCCAGUAAUGAAUGAGUUCUUACUCUUAAUUCAUUCAAGAGCUAGUUAUUUAAAAGAGCCUGGCAUUUCUCUUGCUGCCUUCUUGUCAUGUGACACUCCAGCUUCCCGUUUGCCUUCUGCCCUGAGUAAAAGCUUCCGCACCAGAAGACGAGCAGAUGUUGGUGCCCUGCUUGUACAGCCUGCAGAACCGUGAGCCAAAUAAACCUCUUUUCUCUAUAAAUUA